GGGGGGGUGGAGCAUGAACAAGAAUCAUAAAGGAGAGUGGUCAGUGCAAAAGUGAGUCAUAAGAGCACAGAGAGGGGCCCCCUGGCCAGUCCAGGGGAGGGGAGGGAGGUCAUUGCCAGUUUCCAGUAUGGGUGGAGUCUAAUCUGAGGCUUGAAUGGAGAACUAGAAAUUAACCAAAUGGAGCAGGAGUAAACAAGGGGCCUGGAAGAAGGCAGGACUACGAGUGAAGAUUCCAGCCAUGGUGUUUCAGCAGUCCAGGCUGCAAAUGAUGGCUGCCUGGAGGAGGACACGGGAAGAGGCAGAGCUGAGUGAAGGGAGUUUAGGAGGAGGCAGAGUGAAGAGGAGGGGUGGGAGUGGGAGCAGGGAGGAACCCGGGGUGGCUGCCAGUUUCAACAGGAGGCACACCCAGAAGGGUGGAACUCUAUCUACUCCUAGCACUUGUUCCGGGGUGGUGCCCACCCACAGGCUCCCUGCCGCCAACUGAGUUCACUAAAAGCCCCUUCCCUCCCAUCAACCUUGUGGCCCACUGGUUGGCAGUGGCAACCCAGUUCCACCAACAUUUACUAAGCAGCUGUUAUGUGUCAGGAACCAGGGGGGCUUCUCCCUGCCUCACCUAGGGGAGUUUCAACCAGAUGACUGAGAGGUUCCAGAGCAGGGAGGGGAGGCUGAGGGUCGGCAGAGAGAAGGGAAAUGCUGUGGACACAUAGCCUCCAUUCAGGCCCUCUCUCUUCCCCCAGCACCGGAGGAACCUCACCCCUGACCUCUCACCCCCAUGACAGGAAAGGUACAAGGGACAUCUGCAGGGCCUUAGACAAAGCCCCUGGGCCCCCACCUCUACUGGAACAGGCAGCCACCCUGGUCUCUUUCCAUUCUGCAAGUUCUGUGCUCCCUCUGCUGUGAGAUCUAGGAUGAAGGGGGAGAGCUGCCUGCAUGCUGACCCACAGGACUUGCCACCUGCAUCCAAGAGAUUCACUCCAUGGAAUUGAGGCGUUUUCCCAGAGGCUCUCGUGCACAGGGAGACAGAACCCACCACUGCCUGGGGAAUAUAAUUUCUUACCGGUUCACUAUCGCAGGAGUGCAGGUGAAUUAUAGGAUUGCUGUCCUCUGAGCCUAGAAGAGAGGCCUGCUUUAUAGAAAGCUCCUACUCCUGGAGAAGUCACUUCCCAGAAGGAUGCUGUUCUCUUGGUUAUUUGGCUGGACCGGGCUGCUGAGGGGAAGGUCUGCUGGGGAAAAGUCUGACAAAGACAGAAGCAUCAGCUGGAGCCCUACGCGGACCCCUCUGAUGGGGAAAGCCGGCUGAAUCCACCUGGGCUGGAUCCUGCUUCAUCUUGCUUCAGGUUCCCCUCCUUGCAGCCCUGACAUACAUAUGCAUGAAUUCCUCAGGACCUGAAAGCCAGCUGUGUUUCCAGUUGCCAGAGGGACCUAAAACAGACCUCUUCAAGGCUUGGACACACGAGAAACCUGGAGAGAGGGGCCAUUCUGCAGGCAGU